CCCAUACCGAACACGGAAGUUAAGCUCUUCAGCGCCGAUGGUAGUUGGGGGUCUCCCCCUGUGAGAGUAGGACGUCGCUGGGC
rnacentral:rRNA from 1 species